rnacentral:tRNA from 2 species
UCCGCCAUAGCUCAGUUGGUAGUAGCGCAUGACUGUUAAUCAUGAUGUCGUAGGUUCGAGUCCUACUGGCGGGG